UAGCCGAUGAGGAUAAAACAAAUUAUCUUAGCGGAUUUCAGUGAGGUUUUUAAUCAAUGAUCUGAAUUGUUACACACACUGAGGCUU
rfam:Arabis alpina cultivar Pajares Aa.chr3_contig_2412, whole genome shotgun sequence.